GUAGGCCUGACCCAAAGCUCAUUGAAAUCAAUGGGAAUUUUUCCAUUGAUUUCAGUGAGCUUUGGUUCAGGCACUAAAUAC
rnacentral:pre_miRNA from 1 species